CGGCCUCUAGGAGUCAUCCACACGAGCCCACGAAUCUCGAUCAGAAGUCCUGCUUCAGGAAAUCAGCACAGUAUGCUAGUACUGCGCUGAUCCUUCUUUGAUAGUUGAUCAGGUGCCUCCUUCUUCUUGAUUUGGACUCUUUCAAAGAUGAAAAGUAGAAGGAGGAGUUUCAGAUCUAAGAUGAUCUUAGAAAACUCAAGAUGG
rnacentral:lncRNA from 1 species